rnacentral:lncRNA from 1 species
AUGCUAGGAUUAAGGUUUGUUGUGUGGAACCCGGUGCACUAUUCAAUGGAAUGGUGUAGGGGUUAAUCCUGCAGGUCGAGGAGAUCGUGGCUGAAGCUGAGGUGACGCCUGUGCAGCUUUAUGGUAGGAAGCUAUCUUUGUGACUUUACCGUUGAUAAGGACUUCCGUUGUAUAGUUACUCUGAGUUGCAUUUACGUUUUAUUUUGUUGUUGACAAUUUAUUUCGUAAGCAUUGUAAUAUAUAACUCUAUGGAGCGAGUUUAUAUUCACUUUGAGGGUUCAGGGC